rnacentral:rRNA from 1 species
UACGUAGGGGGCAAGCGUUGUCCGGAAUCAUUGGGCGUAAAGAGCUCGUAGGCGGCUUGUCACGUCGGGUGUGAAAGCCCGGGGCUUAACCCCGGGUCUGCAUUCGAUACGGGCUAGCUAGAGUGUGGUAGGGGAGAUCGGAAUUCCUGGUGUAGCGGUGAAAUGCGCAGAUAUCAGGAGGAACACCGGUGGCGAAGGCGGAUCUCUGGGCCAUUACUGACGCUGAGUGAGCGAAAGCCAGGGGAGCAAACGGG